GGCGUAAAGGGCUUCGCAGGCGGUUUUUUAAGUUUUGAAUGUGAAAGCCCCCGGCUUAACCGGGGAGGGUCAUUUGGAAACUGGGAAACUUUGAGUGCAGAAGAGGAGAGUGGAAUUCCACGUGUAGCGGUGAAAUUGCGUAGAGAUGUGGAGGAACACCAGUGGCGAAGGCGACUCUCUGGUCUGUAACUGACGCUGAGGAGCGAAAGCGUGGGGAGCGAACAGGAUUAGAUACCCUGGUAGUCCACGCCGUAAACGAUGAGUGCUAAGUGUUAGGGGGUUUCCGCCCCUUAGUGCUGCAGCUAACGCAUUAAGCACUCCGCCUGGGGAGUACGGUCGCAAGACUGAAACUCAAAGGAAUUGACGGGGGCCCGCACAAGCGGUGGAGCAUGUGGUUUAAUUCGAAGCAACGCGAAGAACCUUACCAGGUCUUGACAUCCUCUGACAACCCUAGAGAUAGGGCUUUCCCUUCGGGGACAGAGUGACACGUGGUGCAUGGUUGUCGUCAGCUCGUGUCGUGAGAUGUUGUGUUAAGUCCCGCAACGAGCGCAACCCUUGAUCUUAGUUGCCAGCAUUCAGUUGGGCACUCUAAGGUGACUGCCGGUGACAAACCGGAGGAAAGUGGGGGAUGACAUCUAAUCAUCAUGCCCCUUAUGACCUGUGCUACACACGUGCUACAA
rnacentral:rRNA from 1 species